AGUGAACGCUGGCGGCGUGCCUAAUACAUGCAAGUCGAACGAAGGGGCGCACGGGUGAGUAAUAUAUAGUUAAUCUACCCUACACAGAGGAACAACAGUUGGAAACGGCUGUUACUACUUCAUAGUGUAGGAUGAGAGUAUAUCGUAUCAUCUACUUGUUAAUGUAAUGGCUUACCAAGGCUAUGACGCGUAACUGCUCUGAGAGGAUGAUCAGUAACAUUGUAAGUGAGACACGGUCCAAAAACCUACGAGAGGCAGCAGUAAGGAAUAUUGCGCAAUGGGGGAAUACCUGAAGGAGCAACGCCGCGUAGAGGACGACACGUGACGGAGCGGAAACUCAUUUUAUCAGCAAAGCGGUACCUGAUGAAUAAGCACCGGGUAACUCCGUGCCAGCCGCCGCGGUAAUAC
rnacentral:rRNA from 1 species